UACGGAGGGGGUUAGCGUUGUUCGGAAUGACUGGGCGUAAAGCGCGCGUAGGCGGAUCAUGCAAGUCGGGGGUGAAAUCCCGGGGCUCAACCCCGGAAUGGCCUUCGAGACUGCUGGUCUUGAGUUCGGGAGAGGUGAGUGGAAUUCCGAGUGUAGAGGUGAAAUUCGUAGAUAUUCGGAGGAACACCAGUGGCGAAGGCGGCUCACUGGCUCGACACUGACGCUGAGGUGCGAAAGCGUGGGGAGCAAACAGG
rnacentral:rRNA from 1 species